rnacentral:lncRNA from 1 species
UAAAAUGAAAAUUUGAUGGUUUAAUUUGUAAGGGUCGAAUUGUUGUUGUCUUUAUUUUAUGAGGUAUUUAUGUUGCAAUUAGACCAUAUUUAUAAAUCAUGGAUGGCUAACGACAUGAAUAUAAUGUUUGUAUAAUUAUUUUAUAAAGGUUAAUUUAGUAAAAUAUGUAAUAAUAUGUAUAAAAUAAAUCAUAAAAAUUUAAAAGCCAUAUUUUCAUCUUUUUUCUUUGACAGAAACAUUAAAGAAAAAAAAAGAAAUAAGGUUUUCAAUGGUUCAGCCAUUGUUAAGCUUAAUCAAGGUAUGUAGCUGUAAGACCUAAUUUGUGACCGGGCUUACACAAACUAAAAAACAAAUCAAAAUAUAAAUAAUAAUAAUAAUAAUAAAGUCUAAUGUCCAUUUCUUACAUAGCCCAACAACCAAAAAUAACGGGCUCAAAUUAAAAAACCUAAACCCAACAAAAUACACAGCUCACUGGCCCAAAUAAUCCAAGCUUCAGUUUCAGAAAAUGAAACCCUAAGUCAGUAGCCUCGUGCCGCAGCCUUCACGAGUGGCCUCGCUACAUCGCACGUGCACCUCCGUUCCUCCACGUCAACGGAACCUGUGAGAAGGAAAAUAAACAGCAAAGGAAUGCACGAGAGAGAAGCUAACAGAAUUUACAGCGAUUGACAGCAAGAAAAUGUAAUUUUAUUUUUUAUUUACUCUGUAAAUCCGGCUAUAAAAAGCCAUCGAAUGUACCUGCAAAGGAGGCAUAUGACGCACAGUGUACGCAUACACACAUACAAUAUACAGAUAUUGAAUAGAAAAGUUUAAAAGCAUUUUGAAAAGGUAAUUUUCUUUAGUCUUUUUAACUAUUCUGUUAUUUUUUAUAUAUUUUCUUGCCAUUGCUUUCAUCAUCUGUGUUUUAAAAUAAAGAGGAGAGAAAAGCAAGUCUCACCUUGCAAAUCGGCCACCGAUCUCCGUUCACUUCGUUGAGAUCGAAGUAGAAAGGGGAUCCAAAGGCAACAUCUAUUACUGCUGGUGCGCCAUUGAGCACCAAAUUAAAUGGUGGAUUCGACAGAUGCAGAAAACCGAAGCAAAUUGAUUUUUGGGGGUUGUUAAUUUAGGUUAAAAAAUGGCUGAACUAAAAGAAGAGAAAAAGGCAUUAAAACCUUUGUAGAAAGUGGUGCUGUUUGAAAUGGAAAAGUCCACGUGUAAACCCGAUGCAAAAGACAGAUCUGCACUCUUUUUUAUCUUAAAUGAGCUAUUUGCACGUCUGAUCCUUCCCGCAUAUGUCAAUCUUCAAUCGGAUCCAACCUAUGCUACACUUAUUUUUUUAUUUUGUCUGGGAAUUUGUACACUAUUGCGAUUUGAUCCACGGCUAAAUUCAGCGUUUUGAAAUGUAAAUUAUUUCCAAUUCUGGUCCUUAUACAUUUGCAAGCAUGACGCCUAAGUCCCUAUUUUGAUUUUAAUAGUUUUAUUUUUAAAAUUUCCUUCGUAUUUUAACUCAAUUUUAAUUUAGUUUUAUUUGUAUAGUCUACCAUACAUUCAACGUUGUACAUGUAUUAGCUUAAUUGAGAUUUUAAUUUAUGAUGCAUAUUAUUUAAAAUUGGUUUAAUUUUUUUAAAAUUAAUUUGAUCUUUGUUAACAGCUUCUUCUAUAUUUUAUUUGCAAUUAGGUUAUAGUUUUUUUUUUUUUUGCGUAACCUUUAACUCAAAAUUUUUUUUUAUUUUGGCAGCUAUAUUAUUUAAAUCAAGUCUUUUGUUCACUAUGAUUUUGAGAAUUCAUUUGGUUCUUCAUAUAUAUACAUGCUAAAUUAUGUUUCUCACUUUAUAUAACUAUUAUUUUGAAGCUAUUUUAUAUUAUAUUGUUUUAAUAAUUUAUAUAAUAUUUUUUUAAUAUUUUUGUGUAUAUUUGUACAUAUAUUAUUUUAAUGGUUUUUUUAUUUAAAAUACUUAUUAUUUUAAAAUUCAUUUAAAUAUGUAUGCAAGGUUAUUUGGGAAAUUCAUUCUUGUGUUUACAAAAUUAUUAUUUUGAAACGCUUCUUUAUGUUAUAUUAUCUUAGUGUUUUAUUUAGUAUCCCUUCUAAAUGUUUUAAGUAUAAUAGUAUGUAUAUAAUUUAUAAGAUAAUCUAAUUUUAUAUGUAUUAUUAAUUUCAUAUUUUGUUUAUAUAAAUAAUUAUUCCUAUAUCAUAUGUGCAUGUCUCAAAAGAAAAUCUAUUAUGUGUACUAUACCUUGCCAUGUAUUAUUAUUUCUUCAUAUUUAAUAUAUUAUUUAAGUUAUCAUUAAGCAUAUAUUUUUGUAUUUAUAUUUAAUUUACAUACAUUAUUAAAACCAUGAUAUUUUUAAAUAUAUAGUUUUUUUUAAGUUUGUACCUAAUAAUUUUUAUUAAAUGCAUAGUAUGUGAUAAAAUUAAGUUAAUUUUACAAUUCAUAUUUUUAUUUCAUGAUAUUCUAACAUUUAAUUAUUUCUAAAAUAUAUGUAUAUAACCCAUAUUAAAUUAUUUUAUUAUAGUCUACAUUAUUGAUUUCAAAUUAAUAUUUCUUUUACGUAUAUAUAUAUAUUUUCUCUUUAAAAUUAUUCAUGCGUAUAAUGCGUUUAUUUUAAGAACUAUAUUUUAAGUCGUACCAUUUAUUUAUUGUAUAUAUUCUCCUAUUUUAUUAUCCUUAUACAUGUAUUAUUUUCAUCAAUCCAAAUCAAGUUGUUAUAUAUAAAAUUAUGUUAUAUUUUGUUUUAAAUUUCCCUUUAUAAAUAUAGUUUUAUAAAUAUACAUCACUAAAUUUAUGUAUUUUGUAAAUAUAAUUUUCUUUGUUAUGUACACUCUAUCCUAUCAUGUUUUUUCUUUUUUCUUUUAUAUGUUAUUUAAGCAACCAUGCAUAUUAUCAAUUUUUAAAAUUUGUGUUUGAAAUGUUUUGCAUAUUAUUCGAUUCAAAUGUUUUAUUCUACAAUAUUUAUGUCAAAUAAUUAUAUAUCUUUAGUUUUCAUACCAAUUUGUCAACUUAUUUUAUGUGUUAAUUAAUUCAUCAUUAUUUUGAAAAUGUCCUAUACUAUGCUAAGUUCUAAUUCCAUUUCAUUUUGUACAUAUUUUAUGGAUCAUUUUAUAUUAUGUCCUGUUAAUUAUUGUUGUAUAUCAUUUUUGUAUUGAUUGUUCGUCAUCUAUGAUUAAGAAUUUGGUCAUUUUACUUAGAAUAAUUGUACAUAAUUAUGGAUUUGUUAAUUGCGACUUGUUGUAUCCUAUUAUUUCAUGCUCAUUAACCCUUUCUCAUACAAAUGUUUUGAUACAAUGAAGCAUUCCAUUUUAAAACGGAUAAACGUGUUUUGAGCAAAUUUCCAAUUUUCUUUCUCACUCAAAAUUUUUGAAAUAAGGCUAUAUCCAAUAUUUGGGGAGUUCGGAAAAUCGUGCUCAAUCGUACUGGGUAUGAUUUUUUCGGUGAACUAAAUAUUGGGAUAACCUUUUAUAAUUUUAGUUUACGAGUUUUCAAAAGUCGAAAAUCAAUCGCGUUUUAAAGGUAUAAGGGAUCGUAUCCAAUCGUGCUGAGUAUGAUACUGCAUAUCUUUGAAACGAGAGAAUUUUGACCAUUAAUUUAAACUAUUCGAACAUUUUAAAAAAGAAUCAUACUUUGGGAAAUCUUUUCUUUAAAAGGCCUUUUGGCAUAAGAAUAGCAUCAAAUCAAAUUGGUACCAAUUUUUGGGCGUAAUGACGGUGCUAACCCUUCCUCAUGCGUAAUCGACUCCCGAACCCACUUUUUUGAUUUUACAUGAAUAAAGAGUUUUAGUAGGUGGCCCAAUCACACCUAAAUCAAGAGAUUGGUGGCGACUCCACAUUUUUGUUUUCAAAAGUCGAUCUCCAUUGUUUUCAAAAUAAAAAGGGUUUCGACAGCUCGGCAACUCCACUGGGGAUUGAACAAAGAGAGUCAGGCCAUAAAAUUGAUUAUUUGCUUUCCUUUUGUCAAAGAAUUGAAAAUUUGUUUUGAAAAUCAUGAUUCUUUUAAUUGCAUUUGUUUGCAUGAUUAUUGUGGUUCGAGUCUUGUAGAAUAAUAUGGCAUUACAUUGCAUGACCGCUGUGGUUGUAACUGUUAAGUAGGAGUAAGAAACUAUGCUUUCGUAAGGUUUUCACCUCCGUAUGGGCUAGUGGAUUGCUUUCGGGAUACAUCCGUACCUAUGAUUUCGUGAGAUUUUCAUCUCCGCAUGGUCAUAGGGAAAUGUAUUCCCCUGAAUCGAACUCGAUUCAUAUGAGCCUAUAAUGGGUGAGAAUUGAGGAAUCUGCUGGUUCAGGUACCCUUUCUUUAGAACCAAACCACAUAUAGUAAACCUUGAGAAUCCACCUUAUGUAGAACCUUGCCCAAAUUUAGUGGUCACCUGAAUAGGUACUUUAUUUGAUAUUUAUUUCACCUAUACUAACGUGUUUUGUUUUUGUUUUGUUUAUAAUUGCAUUGCAUUACAUCAUCAUAGAAAGGAGGUGUUGAUUCAUAUUUGAUUGCUAAAUAGAACAGUUUGUCAUAAGAAAACGAAUUUCCUAAUGAAGUGGAUUAUAAUACGGUUGUCUGAAUUGACGGAAGAAGGCUGACAGUUCGUGGAGAAAAACAAGUCCUUACCUGAAGAUUCAAGCUGAUAAAGAUUGUUCAAGAGCCGUCGCAUCUCGAUUUUCUUAAUGGAGCUAAUCAACGUCGCGAGGAUAAUGAGUCGUAGCCUGGAUCAAGCAAAGAAGAGCUACUGGAGGCAUUUAUUAGAGGCUUGCGAGAUUUGGAUUUCACGAAGAAAAGGGAUCGGUGUCUUUGCCUGGAAUAUGAAAGCAAGGCCGUAUAUGUAAUCCGUUUUAUGUAAAGGAAUUUGUUUUCUUGAAAACUUGUUCUAAUGGAAUUAAAUUGAAAAUCAACAUCUCUCUUUCUUUUGCAUUCAUCCCAUGCAUUUGCAUUGCAUUGCAUCAUUUCAUUAUUUGCAUUAAAUUUUUAUAAAGGGGUCCCUAAUUAGUUGAAAUCAUUUCAGUUAAUCUAGGAACCAAUAAAAACUUACCAACCAAGCAUCAUUACGGUACCCGUGCUAAGACAAAAGAUAUGGACAAAAGAUUGGAAAGACUUGAACAACUUCAAAGAGAGAUGCAAGACCAGUUACAAAUACAGAUGCAAGAGCAACUAGCGAAGAUUAGGCAGGAUAUGAAAGAUCUGGUGCUAGAAUCUUAAAGGAAUAUGUUGAACCGGUUGUCUCAAUUGCUGACAAAGGGGCUUAAAGAAAGGAAAAGUUCUAUGAUCAAUACUGGGAAGGACAAUAAAGAGCCUCUCUACCCUCCAGGUUUCACCCCGACGAAUGUUCAGACGUGUCUGCAAGGUGUACCUAUUAUCAGAACUCAGCAAUAUCAGGCUGGUAACUCAGUAUCGGUGGAUUACCUGAUAGGCUCAAGCUCCAAUCCGAGAGGAAACCUAACCAAUCUUGAAGUUCUUGAUCUAGAUUAAAUGGAAAAAGUAAAGAGGGAAUUACCAAAACAACUCGAAGAUCGGUAUAGGUGGUUGGAGGAAAAAUUGAAAGCAAUGGAGAGUGUUGACUUCUACUGUGGAAUUGAUGCCAAGGAUUUGAGUUUGGUCCCUGAUCUAGUACUCCCGCCAAAGUUUAAGAUUCCUGAGUUUGAAAAGUACAAUGGGACCAGUUGUCCUGAAGUUCACAUCAUAAUGUUCUGUCGAAGGAUGACAGGGUAUGUUAACAACGACCAAUUAUUAAUUCAUUGCUUCUAGGACAGUCUAAUCGGGUCAGUAGCUAAAUGGUACAACCAAUUGAGUCGUGUUAAAAUCAAUUCAUGGAAGGACUUAGCACAAGCUUUUAUGAAGCAGUAUAGCCAUGUAACAGAUAUGGCAUCCAACAGAAUUACCUUGCAGGAUAUGGAAAAGAAGCAAAGUGAGAGCUUCAGGCAAUAUGCCCAAAGAUGGAAAGAGGUAGCAACACAGGUCCAACCGCCUCUUUUGGAAAAGAAGACCACGAUGCUUUUCAUCAAUACUCUAGAAGCUCCGUUCAUUAAUUAUAUGUUGGGAAGUACUACGCUGAGCUUUUCAGAUAUAGUAAUGUCUGGUGAGAUGAUUGAAGAUGCGAUAAGAAAUGGGAAAAUAGAUAUGGGAGAAAAUGCCAAAAGGUCAAAUCCGAGAAAUGAGGAAAAUGAAGUGAACAUCACGAGCAUGCCUUCCAAAUUGGUCAACAUAAGCCAGCCAAGGGUUGUAACCGCUGGUUAUCAAAGAGAAUUUGAAUGACAUAUCUAAAGAGAGGUCCAGGGAAUAAAAGUUUCUAAAACCUUAUGUAUUUGGGGGUGUUUUAAGAAAUGGAACUGUGGAAGAGAUCCUUGUAUUUUUAGAGUUGAUUUAGAGUAAUAUUCAAAACACACUUGUUGCCUUAAGCCUAGGGGCAAUAAGAAUCCUUUUGUGAAAUAGGCUUGUGUCCAAAACUUUUUAUUUCAAUAAAAUGCAUGUUUUUUGAAUUUUCUUUCAUUAUUUAUUCUUUUGUUCUUUGGACUACUUUUUUUAAAAAAAAUAUGCUUUUGUUCUUCAUUCAUGAUCAUACUAUACAAAUAAUUAUCCUUAGAAUCUUUGGAAUUAGUCUUUGUACCUACAAUAGGUCCCCAGAUAUUAAUGACAUGAGCAACGCUGUAACUAACUCCCUUUUGGGGUGAGAUAUGUGUUUAAGCGGAUCUCAGGACUUUGAAGAUGACAGAGAUUGUGACUUAUUUCCUGAUUUGUUAAGGAUGGUAGAACAAGAUGAAAAAAAUGGAUCUUUGUAAUAUCCUGAUUUUGGGCCUAGUCAGAAUAGUGGUUUUGUGACCCAAAAAUUCGAGAUAGAAAUAAUUAUUUUAUGAUUAUUUUGAGGUCUAUGAUAUUAUUGCAUGAUUGUGUGAAAAUUUCGUGAAGAAAUUUUAUGCAUAAAGUGCUUAAAUUGAAAUUAGGGACUAAAUCGAAUAAUUUGUAAAACUUGCAUUCUAGAAGUUUCUAGUAUGAAAUUGUUUUGAAAUAUUAAUUAGAAGGUUUUAAAUAGAAAUUUUACCAAUUUCUAAGUCUAUGGAAAAAAAUUGGACAUGGAUAGAAUUUUUGGAAAGUUUAGUAGUAAGGGCAUUUUGGUCAUUUAGGGGUAAAAUGAAUUAAAAUAUAAAAUUAAAAGCCAAUUUUGCUCAUCUUCAACCCCAUGGCCGAAUAUAGCAAGGAGAAACCAUGGCUAGGGUUUUCAAGCUUCCAAGCUCGAUUGUAAGUCCGUUCUAGCCUCGUUUUUUGGAGUCUUAGUAGCUCGAUUAAGCUUAUGCUAGCAAUAAUUCAACCUAGGGUUCAUAUUUGGAAAAUACCCAUAGGUGAAAUUUGUGUAUUUUGGUGUUUUAUGAUAGAAUAUGAGGUUUUAAAUUAUGUUAGACAACUUGUGCUACUCGGUUUUAAGCGAAAACUAGCAAAAGGGCUUAAUCGGUAAAAAUACCUAAUAGUCAUAAGUACAUGUUAGAGUGAGAAUUUGAUGUUUCUAUAGAAGGGAAAAAUGAUCAGCAUGUCAUAAAACAUAAGAAAAUAGGCUGAAUUUUAAUUUACGAGCUUUGGGGAAAAAGUGUAAAUAUGCAAAAGUUUAGGGGCAAAAUUGUAAUUUUUCCAAAAUAUGAUUUUGGGUCCAUUUGAAUAAUGUGAGUCCUAAUUAGACUAUAUUUUAAAUGAUAGAGCAAGGAAAACUAAAAUUUAGGCUAAAAUGGAAAAAUACCAAGUUGUGGACGAAAUAGUAAAAGUAGCCAUUUUCGCGUACGAGGUAAGUUCAUGUGUAAAUGUAGUAACAUAAUUGUCAUAUUAAGCAAUUUAAUGUUGUUUAUAUGAUAUGAUGCUGAUUAUUAUCAUGAAAUAUUAUGCUUUGUAGUUAUUGUUGAAUAAUAUGUAAUUAUGUGAAUUACUUGAUGAGUAUGAACUAUCACCGAAGUAUCAAUUUCGAUAUUCCGUGGAAGAUGGCAAAGAUGUGAGAUCAAGGAAAAAGCCCGUUUGAACCUUAGGAAUAGAUUAGGAUACAAGUGACAUGUCACUAGGAUGUUUGGGCAUCCGAACUCGUUGAGUUGAGUCCGAGUUCACUUAUGGAUGCGAAUGUCCAAACUCGUUGAGUUGAGUCCGAGUUCGAGAGAUUUAACUAGGCAUCCGAGCUCGUUGAGUUGAGUCCGAGUUCACUUAUGGAUAUGAACGCUCGAGCUCGUUGAGUUGAGUCCGAGUUCACUUAUGGGCGGGUUACAUGGUAGCUUGGCUACAUAUGUGGCACUUAUGUGCAAACUUUCCAUGUAUCCGAAUUAUAUUCCGAUGUGUUCAACGGGUAAAGUUCUACUCAAAUGGAGGAAUACUCAAGAUGAAAGGGACGUAUUGGUAAGUGUUGUGAAAUGGAUACUUUGAACAGGUAUGUACUUAACCCUCGGGUUGAAAACUCGAUAUAACAACAAUAUGGUAAGAUGAUAAAUGAAAAUGUGAUAUGGAUGUCUUGGUGAUGAUUAUGCAAAUGAUGUUUUAUGUUUGCUUAUAUGGUUAUGUUACUUGCUAUUUGCAUGUGAACUUACUAAGCAUUUAUGCUUACUCCCUCCUUUUCAUUCCUUGUAGUGUUGACAAGCCAGCUCGGAAAUCGAAAACGGUCGGAGGCACGCUCACACUAUCUGUAUACCAUCUUGGCAUAAUGGCUUGUAUAUUUUGAGUAUGACAUGUAUAGCAUUAUAAUCAUUUUGUGUAUAUGGUCUUAUGAUAUGGUUAUUGAGUGGUAUGGAAAUGCUUGGUAAUAAUUAGCCAUUGGAAUGGCUAAUCAUGAUCAUAUUUGGUGUUAUGUAUGCUAAAUUGCUAGCUAAUUCAUGGAAACCAUGAAAUAGGUAAAAUUUACCAUAAAAUAGAUUCAGACAGCAGCAGUGACGUGAGUUUGAAAAAUCACUAAAAAUAGUAGAGAUACAACUAGAUGAUGAAUAAUAUAUGGAAUUGAAUAAUUAUGAGUCUAUUUUCAUAUGGAUGGAACAAAACAGGUAUAUGAGUUAUAUUUUAUGAGAUGUUUAAAUUUUUGUGAAACAGGGCUAGUGCGAUUUCUGGAUCCCCUGUUCUGACUUUGGAAAUUCACCAUAAAUGUUUCAAAAAUAAUUAGAAGUCAUGAUUUAUAUGUACAGAUUCCUUAUUUAGUCUAGUUUUAUUAAAAAUAAACGACAUAGUCAUUGAAACUCUGUACAGGGAGAUAUUUGAUUCGUAAUACACAGAGGUCAGAGCAGUCGAACCCUGAAAUAGGGGAGACUUUAACUAAUUAACUGUACUAAUUUUCUUGACCAAAAAUUCUUGAAAAAUAAUUAUGAAAUAGAUAUAUGAGUCUAGUUUUAGGGAAAUUUUACGGAAUUAGAUUUUGAGUUUCGUAACUCGAGAUAUGAAUUUUUAAGCGACUAUGACGCAGAUUGUUAGCUUGACUGAAAAUUUUAAAAAUAAAUUGUUUGAGCUGUUUAAGUAAUGAAUUAAGUUUGUUAACACCUCGUGUUUGACUCCAGCGACGGUCUCGGGUACGGGGCGUUACAUUUGGUGGUAUCAGAGCAAGUUUAGUCGGUUCUCGGACUAACCUAGCAUGUGUAAAAGUUUAGCUAUACAUGCCACUGAUCUGUGAUAGUGUGAUGUCUUCCGACGCGUAUGAGUACCGUCUUAUUUAGACAAGGUACUCUCCAACCGAGCUGCGCCGACCAUGUUCAAUGUUAUGUGAAGGUAUUUGAGUAAAAUUAUGAUUAUGAUAAGUCUCGGUUCAGAAAAGUAUGAAUAAAAGUUUAUGAUACAUAUGUGAUAAAUAUUCAUAUUUGCUUAAUGCUCAUAUGAUGUAGUGUAUGUGGCUUACUUGAUAAGAUGAAUGGAAUAAAUAGAAAGUAGUAGAGGUAUGAAUAAAAGUCAUAAUAUUAUGAUACGAAUGAAAAUGUCCUUGUCUUGAUUUGGACGUCUAAUGUUGAUGAAUGCUAAUGAUAUAUAAUUUUUAUGAGAUAAAGGAUUAUAAUGGAAUGAACUUAUCUAUGUUAAAUUGUUGGACUGAAUUAUAUGAUUGUAAUGAUAUGUACAUGAUGAUGCACGAAAUGAAAGUUGUGACUGUGAUGCAAAUAUCUAUGUUUGUUUGGCCUUAUAUGAUGUCAUGAGCAUGAAUUAAUUUAAUUAAAUGAAUGGAUAAGUAAAGCUAUCUAGAAAACAUAGAAUGUAUGCAUAAGUAUAUUGUCUAAAUGGGACAAUAGGAAAAUUGGUGUAAGCCAACAUGAAUGUUGCAUUGCCUGAAUGAAUGACAUGAUUUUGAUGAUGGAAGUUGUGUCAUAUGUGUAUGUAUAAGAAGGUCGAGUCAGAGGUCCUACAACCCCUCCCCCUUACCAAAGUGGUACUUAUAAUGGAAUUUCAUGAGAUUUGUAUUGAAUAAGUUUCCGGUUGAGAACCCAAAGAGUUCAGUGAUAGAAUAAUUAUAAGUAUGAUCAGAGAUUGAAAAUGAGCUGAUAAGUAAAGUCAGAGUCAGUAAAGUAUCAGAUUGAUAUAAAGAUUAUUGGAAUUAUGCACUGUCCCAGUUAAAGAAGGAAAUUCUCUUUGGUAAAUCGAAUUACUCAGGUGCAAGGUCGAGAAAAGUGUAAAUCAAAAAUUUAUUCAGAACUGACCUUCUUUAGUGAAUGAUUUAAUAUGAAAUUUGUGAUGGCAGAACUAGUUGGGGAAAUGAUAUUUGAAAUGUGAACUAUCUGAGUGUGACAGUUAUGACUGGACAGAUUUAGCAGUCUCUUUUGAGAUGUUCUAUGUGUUUACCCGUUCUCAGAAAUAUUUCUAUGGCUAUUGAUCUUAUGAAGAAAUUCUUGUUAUAUGGGAAUGUCUUCUAAUUCUGGUGUUGGAUGAAAGCAUUGGUAGUCUGACUGGUUUAUAAUUUAUAUUGCUCUAUUUCAUCGGGUAUUCUAUUUUAUUUCGUCUGAUAAGAAUUGAUGAGAGAAUACGUAAGAUAUUAUGAUUCAGUUUCUUCUACUUGAUGCUUCAUCUGAUAUAUAUAUGUAUGGGAAGAUAUAUUGAUCUUGUUAUAUUUGAUUUCAGUGGGAUUAAAUGAUGUUUUCUUCUGGACUUUCUUUCUUUGAAGAAUUAUCGGGGUAUUCUAUAUUUUCUCUAUGAGUUUGGUUUUCGAUUCUCCGGCAUAGUAUCAUAUCUUGGGUUUCUUUAUCCUGGAUCUCUUUAUUCUGGAUUUCUUUAUUCUGGGUUUCUCUAUCUUGGAUUUCUUUAUUCGGUUUUCUUGUUAUCUUUGUUUCAUAAUUUGUCAAUUAAGACUCAUGUUCGAAGUGCGUUCUUCAGCUCGUGAUAAUCAUGUCAAAUAUGACUAUACUUCUAAUUUGAUCUUGGUAAUGUGGUGAUUUUAGUAUUGGGAUUUUUUCUAAUUUCUGUGUAAGGAUUUGACAUCAGUAAAGGCAUAGGUGAUAAAAGCGCGAGUUUCAGUCGGUAUGGUGAAUUAUUUAUUUGAAAGAUUUCAUGUGACAAUUAUGUCAGGAUUAUUUUUCUCAAGUCUGAUAAUAGAAUUUCAUUUUGUACAGAUAAAAGAGUAAAUAGUCUGAACGAGAAGUGUAUAUUUAUUAGAAAGAGUUGGAUAUUAGUUAAAGUCACUACGAAUGAUAAGGUUUUCGUCUUGUGAAAGCUGAAAAGUUUAUUACAUGUUGACAGAGUUCGGAUAGAUGAGAAUAUUGGUAACCGAAGCGUUUGAACUAGACUAGUCUACAUUGAGUAAAGACUUCCUGACUUUCAGUAAUGUACUGUUGUAUGAAUUGUGAUGUGUUUCAAGACAGUGAGGUAAUGUGAUAGUUUAGAGCAUUCGAUGUUACAUAAAAUCGGAGUUGUUAAAGGGUUAAAGCCAAGCAUUGGGAUCUAUCAAAAUUAUCCUUGUCAGUGUUGAUAUUGGGAUGAAAAUGAGAAGGAUUAUUCUUGAGGCCAUAUCAGAAAUAUUUCAAUGGCGGAAAGAGGAAAAUGUGAUGUAUCCUAUUGUUAAAUGUUUGGCGAGAUCUAUAAAUCAUAUAUGUAUUGAAUGAAUUCCUACUCAUCAGAUUCAUGGAAUUUCAGGUCUCUUUGAUUUUUGGAUUUCUUGGAAUUCCGGUCUCCAUUAAAUCAAGUUGAGAUCCGAGUUUUAUGUCAUGAUAUCAUGGGAAACUGAGAAGGGUUGAAAAUUUAAAAGAACAGUUGAGAGUUGAGACUGUAAGCUUUUAGAUCAUAUGAGAAAUUGAAGAGAUGUAUUGGAGGUACAGUCUAAGUGCAAGUACUUCGACACCGAAUAUGAGAUUAAAAGUGAAGACCACUUUUCUGGUAAGAUUUUCGGGGACGAAAAUCCCUAAAGGGGGGAGAGUUGUAAUAUCCUGAUUUUGGGCCUAGUCGGAAUAGUGGUUUCAUGACCACAAAAUUCGAGAUAGAAAUAAUUAUUUUAUGAUUAUUUUGAGGUCUAUGAUAUUAUUGCAUGAUUGUGUGAAAAUUUCGUGAAGAAAUUUUAUGCAUAAAGUGCUUAAAUUGAAAUUAGGGACUAAAUCGAAUAAUUUGUAAAACUUGCAUUCUAGAAGCUUAUAGUAUGAAAUUGUUUUGAAAUAUUAAUUAGGAGGUCUUAAAUAGAAAUUUUACCGAUUUCUAAGUCUAUGGAAAAAAAUUGGACAUGGAUAGAAUUUUUGGAAAGUUUAGUAGUAAGGGCAUUUUGGUCAUUUAGGGGCAAAAUGAAUUAAAAUAUAAAAUUAAAAGCCAAUUUUGCUCAUCUUCAACCCCAUGGCCGAAUAUAGUAAGGAGAAACCAUGUCUAGGGUUUUUCAAGCUUCCAAGCUCGAUUGUAAGUCCGUUGUAGCCUCGUUUUUAAUGAUUUUUACGUUUUUGGAGUCUUAAUAGCUCGAUUAAGCUUAUGCUAGCAAUAAUUCAACCUAGGGUUCAUAUUUGGAAAAUACCCAUAGGUAAAAUUUGUGUAUUUUGGUGUUUUAUGAUAGAAUAUGAGGUUUUAAAUUAUGUUAGACAACUUGUGCUACUCGGUUUUAAGCGAAACUAGCAAAAGGGCUUAAUCGGUAAAAAUACCUAAUAGUCAUAAGUACAUGUUAGAGUGAGAAUUUGAUAUUGCCAUAGAAGGGAAAAAUGAUCAGCAUGUCAUAAAACAUAAGAAAAUAGGCUGAAUUUUAAUUUACGAGCUUUGGGGCAAAAGUGUAAAUAUGCAAAAGUUUAGGGGCAAAAUUGUAAUUUUUCCAAAAUAUGAUUUUGGGUCCAUUUGAAUAAUGUGAGUCCUAAUUAGACUAUAUUUUAAAUGAUAGAGCAAGGAAAACUAAAAUUCAGGCUAAAAUGGAAAAAUACCGAGUUGUGGACGAAAUAGUAAAAGUAGCCAUUUUCGCAUACGAGGUAAGUUCAUGUGUAAAUGUAGUAACAUAAUUUUCAUAUUAAGCAAUUUAAUGUUGUUUAUAUGAUAUGAUGCUGAUUAUUAUCAUGAAAUAUUAUGCUUUGUGGUUAUUGUUGAAUAAUAUGUAAUUAUGUGAAUUACUUGAUGAGUAUGAACUAUCACCGAAGUAUCAAUUUCGAUAUUCUGUGGAAGAUGGCAAAGGUGUGUGAUCGAGGAAAAAGCCCGUUUGAACCUUAGGAAUAGAUUAGGAUACAAGUGACAUGUCACUAGGAUGUUUGGGCAUCCGAACUCGUUGAGUUGAGUCCGAGUUCACUUAUGGAUGCGAAUGUCCAAACUCGUUGAGUUGAGUCCGAGUUCGAGAGAUGUAACUAGGCAUCCGAGCUCGUUGAGUUGAGUCCGAGUUCACUUAUGGAUGUGAAUGCCCGAGCUCAUUGAGUUGACUCCGAGUUCACUUAUGGGCGGGUUACAUGGUAGCUUGGCUACAUAUGUGGCACUUAUGUGCAAACUUUCCAUGUAUCCAAAUUAUAUUCCGAUGUGUUCAACGGGUAAAGUUCUACUUAAAUGGAGGAAUACUCAAGAUGAAAGGGACGUAUUGGUAAGUGUUGUGAAAUGGAUACUUUGAACAGGUAUGUACUUAACCCUCGGGUUGAAAACUCGAUAUAACAACAAUAUGGUAAGAUGAUAAAUGAAAAUAUGAUAUGAAUGUCUUGGUGAUGAUUAUGCAAAUGAUGUUUUAUGUUUGCUUAUAUGGUUAUGUUACUUGCUAUUUGCAUGUGAACUUACUAAGCAUUUAUGCUUACUCCCUCCUUUUCAUUCCUUGUAGUGUUGACAAGCCAGCUUGGAAAUCGGAAAUGGUCGGAGGCACGCUCACACUAUCCGUAUACCAUCUUGGCAUAAUGGCUUGUAUAUUUUGAGUAUGGCAUGUAUAGCAUUAUAAUCAUUUUGUGUAUAUGGUUUUGUGAUAUGGUUAUUGAGUGGUAUGGAAAUGCUUGGUAAUGAUUAGCCAUUGGAAUGGCUAAUCAUGAUCAUAUUUGGUGUUAUUGAUGCUAAAUUGCUAGCUAAUUCAUGGAAACCAUGAAAUAGGUAAAAUUUACCAUAAAAUAGAUUCAGACAGCAGCAGUGACGUGAGUUUGAAAAAUCACUAAAAAUAGUAGAGAUACAAUUAGAUGAUGAAUAAUAUAUAUAAUUGAAUAAUUAUGAGUCUAUUUUCAUAUGGAUGGAACAAAACAGGUAUAUGAGUUAUAUUUUAUGAGAUGUUUAAGUUUUUGUGAAACAGGGCCAGUGCGAUUUCUGGAUCCUCUGUUCUGACUUUAGAAAUUCACCAUAAAUGUUUCAAAAAUAAUUAGAAGUCAUGAUUUAUAUUUACAGAUUCCUUAUUUAGCCUAGUUUUAUUAGAAACAAACGGCAUAGUCAUUGAAACUCUGUACAGGGAGAUAUUUGAUUCAUAAUACAUAGAGGUCAGAGUAGUCGAACCCUGAAACAGGGGAGACUUUAACUAAUAAACUGUACUAAUUGGCUUGACCAAAAAUUCUAUAAAAACAAUUAGGAAAUAGAUAUAUGAGUCUAGUUUCAUGGAAAUUUUACAGAAUUAGAUUUCGAGUUUCGUAACUUGAGAUAUGAAUUUUUAAGCGACUAUGACGCAGAUUGUUAGCUUGACUGAAAAUUUUAAAAAUAAAUUGUUUGAGCUAUUUAAGUAAUGAAUUAAGUUUGUUAACACCUCGUGUUCGACUCCGGCGACAGUCUCGGGUACGGGGCGUUACAAUCUUACUUUACGAAGGGUCAAUGGACAUUGUGAGCAAGGGGCAAAGAUUGAAACCUGAGUCACCACAAGGACAAAAUGAAUCGUCUUUGAGUUACUUCAAGAAUUCAAAGAUGUUUUCAUAUGAUCAUGUCGAGAUAUACUCGAGAUAUUAAGAUCUGUGGAUGAUACAAAAUGUCUAUACAGUGUCAGAAGGACACAUGUUAAUGGUUUCAUGGUAGCCACGCUAAUCAUGAGGUUUGGGUAUUUUUGUUCCACCAUGGAAGGGGAUUGCAUUGGUUAAGCUAUAUUUAGGGAAACAAGCUUCAUUCAUUUCUUUACAAACUUUUUCUAUAUGGGGCAUGUAUUGGUCCAUUCUCACCUAAUAUGCAUCUUGGCAGUCAUUGAUUACUCCAUGAAGAGGGUAAAGGUCGCUUCAUAUGUCAAUAUUACAAGAUUGAUAGUCAUCAAAUUCCAAAAAAAAAAGGGUUGCUGACAAGUAAUGAUAGAAAGGAUUACUUUCAAAUACAACUGCACAAUGUCAAAAGUUUACAGUCUGUUCAAAGACCAGACACUAUAUCACAGUGCAGCAAAGGCAUUCAAAAAGAAAAACAAAAGUACAAAAAUAGAAAAAAGAAAAAGGAAAAGCAAUAAAGGUCAUAGUGAAAAUGACUGAGUCUUGUAAGGAUUGGCAUAAAGAAGUUAUUAUUUACCCUAUAUGCUUAUCGAGCGUUGGCCAGGACCUUUGUUGGGGUAAUACAUUGCUCAUUGGUUUAUGGGAUAGAAACGGUUUUGAAGAUGAGGUUCUUUUUCUUCGAGUCUUGUUAGAGUUGACGUUGGAUAAGGCAAAAUGGAUCUAAACUUGAUAUGAUCAAUUAAAUUCGAAUAGAGGAGAUUCUGUCAUGGUCUAAUGCACUAGAAAUAAAUGAUAUGAAAAUUCCAAGAGGGGAACUUGAUGUUAAAGAAGAUCCUUCUUAUACAAAAGGACUUCAAAUGAAGAAAUAUGCCGAACCAGGAGGGACCUUAUGUAGUAAAGAAGGCCUAUUAUAGAGGAGUAUUGAUAUUGACCGAAAAGAUUUGCCCAAUUCUGAAAAUUCAAAAUGCAGUCAAAGAGUAUUCUACCUAAAAUAGGAGCCAAGGUGAAAACCCACAAAGGGCACCUUGAGACCUUAAAAAUAAAAGAAAGGAAAAGAUUAAAAUAAAAAAGAAAUUAAAAGAGAAAAAAAGAGAAAUUAAAAAAAUUAAAAAAUAAAAAUAAAAAAAAAGAAAGAAAAGGAGAGGCCAAGACGAAAACCCGUAAAGGGCGCUUUGAGACCAAAGGGGAUUUGAGUUGAAAACAAGGAAAGGGCGGCUCAAAUUUGGAUCAAAAUGGGGCACACAAUAGUCUUGCUAUGCCUGAAUUAACAAUGAAAGAACUAUGUUAUGUCUUGGGGCAUCGACAAAGUACUUUGGAUCCCCUAAACACAGAUUAAGCUCAGAAUGGUCAUCAAGAAGUUGGUAUAGAGAAGCUCAAACCGCAAUAUCUAGGGCAUCUAGCUUUCCAUUUUUACCCUUUUGUUCUCAAUAAACUUCUUUCUUGGUUGCAUUUGCUCAUUUAUUUUGAGCUAUGUUCUCAAUUAAUUCCUUUCUUGUCAUGAUUUUUUUCAAGCAUUUUGCAUUGAAAUAACGAUUUUUGGACAAAUAAUACUUUCAUAAAAUGAGUUUCAUAUAUUACUUUGAAAGUUUUUGAAUAAUAUAGGAGCCUGAAACAGGACUAUUAUUUAAAACUUACCAAGCUUAAGGGUUGGAAAAAUUUAAGCCCAAAUUGAGAUUAUCUCUUUGGAAUUUCUGUCAAAAAUAUUGAUUGAACAAAAAGGAAUUACAUCGGUGUUAUAAUCUCGGCAAAGAAUGAGUAAUGGGGUUAUUCUUGAGAAAAGAAAAAUGGUAUUCUGUAUUCAUGCAGAUAUCAGACAUAUACAUCUGUUCAUUAUACCCAGGGAAUGGUGCAACAGAUCAAAUUGAUUGAAGAUCCUAUACCUCUGAGUUAUAGCAGGAUGGAUAGAAGAAAUCAAAUGAUUAUUCCCCUGAAGUUGCAGUGGGAAGUUCAAACUUUAUGUCCCAGAAGUUACAGUGUAAGGGACUCUAGAAUUACAGCGGGGCAAACUUGCUGAGCAGAAUGUGAUUGUUUCUUUGGGUUUUCUGUCAAGAAUACCAGCCAAACAAGAUGACAGCAUAAUAAAUCAGUGAUAAUGCUCUGGUGAACAACGAGCGAUGAUACCUUAAGCUUUUUUUUAAAAAAAAGGAAAAAAGAAAAAAGAAAGAUCAUUUAAAAAAAAGAUCAUUUUCAUUUUUACAUUCAUAUAUCAUUCAUAACACAUUUAGUUAGGUGCAUUUGAUUCAUUUCGAUAAUAGCAUCCUAAUUAUUUGACAUCAGCAUUACAGCUAGUUAGGAGCAUUUGAUUCAUUUCGAUCAUAGCGGCCUAAUUAUUUGACAUCAGCAUCACAUCUAGUUAGGAGCAUUUGAUUAAUUUUGAUCAUAGCAUCCUAAUUAUGUGUCAUAAGCAUCACGUCUAAUUAGGAGUAUUUGAUUCAUUUUGAUCAUAGCAUCCUAAUUAGUUGGCAUAAACAUGAUACGUGAAACCGAGUCUACAGGACAGGUCCAAGAGGACGGUGUAGUAACAUCGGUGAAGUCAGAUCUUAUAUCCCUGAAGUUGCAGCGGAAUAGAUCAAAGAUUACAAACAUUAUCUCCCUGAAGUGGCAGUGGAGUAGGUUUAAGAUUGCAGGUCUUAUUUCUCUAAGUAGUAGUGGAAUAGACCAAAGACGACAAAUCUUAUCUCCAUGUAUCGGCAAUGGAGCAGAUUUAAGCCUCAAGCCUUAUCUCUCUGAGGUAGCAAGAGAGCAGGUUGAAGAAUGAGUCUUAUCUCUCUGAGGUAGCAAGGAAGCAGACUGGGAAUUGUAGAUUUUAUCUCCCUGAAGUUGCAGUGAAGCAGAUCUUCGCAAAUGGCUUGUAACACCCCUUACCCGUACCCGAGGCCGAGAUAAGGUAUGAGGUGUUACCGAGACAAACAUACAAACAUUGAACUAAAAUAAAGGCCAUAAAAUUUCAUUCAUAUUUCAAAACGUUCAUUCACUUACACAUAGUCCCUUAUUUGAGUCUACGGAGCCCAAAACAUACUUUAGAAAGGGUUUGGGACUAAACCGAGAACUUAUGAAAAUCUUGAAAAUUUGAUGCUUUAAGGUUCCACACGCCCGUGUCCCAAAGUCGUGUUCCAUACAUGGCUGAGACACAUGGUCGUGUCUCUGCCUGUCUGGAAUAUACCUAGGCUAUUUUCCAAGCUUUGGUCAACCUUAAUCUCUUACACACUUAUACAUUUAUACCAAGAUUAUCAUCUUACCAAAUAUCUUUAGCUUAAUCAUCAAGCAUUCAUAUUUAAAGCUAGAUCAUAUCUUUAUAAAAUACCACAAUUCAGAUGCGCAGAAUAACAUGUUUGCCUGAAACAUUUCAAUUCAACUCCAUACCCAACAAGCAUUACAUUGAGACUAGUCAUAUAUAUAUAUACAUGUCAUGAUACAUACAUUCUCUUUCUGUUUUCUUAUAAACACAUAUCAUUUAUUUCAUUAUAUCAAUAUUUCAUAUACCAUAGUUUCCAUGUAUUCCACAUAUAUUUAUUUUCCUCAUCCUCCUCUCCAUUCCACAUCCUUAAUGUAUAUAGCAUUCUUGUAAGUACGAUUUCACAAUUUACUAAUAAAUACUCACAACAAACUGUCCACACGAGUCAUAGUCACUUACUUAUUUAUAAUUCGAGCUACAGAGCUCCAAAUUAAGAUCCGUAAAUUUCCCCUGAAACUAGACUCACAUAUCUUUCUAUCAUAAAAUUUUCAUAAUUUUUGGUUCAGCCAAUUAGUACAGUUUAUUCAUUAAAUUUCCCCUAUUUCACUUUUUGACAGUUCUGACCUCUCUUCACUAAAAAUUAAGUAUCUCACAGUACAGAACUCGAAUAAUGUUCUUGUUGAUUUAUCUUGAUAAUAGACUCAUUAAGGAUUUUAAAAAUAUAAGUUUGAGCUUCUAAUUAUUUUUUUCCAAAUUUUUGUGAUUUUCCAAAGUCAGAACAGGGGAUCACGUAAUCAUUCUGAACCAGUCUCCCAAAACAUAAAUAUCUCAAAAUAUAGAACUCCUUUUCUUGCUCUGUUUCUUUUAUAUGAAACUCAUUGAGUUUUAAUUUGAUAUCUCAUUCAGUCUCUAAUUCAAUUUCUACUAUUUUUGGUGAUUUUUAAAAAUCACGUCACUGCUACUGUCCAAAACAGUUUUAUUGCUAAUUCACUCUUUCACACUUUCUUUGUAUUAACCUCAUUUUAACAUACAUAUCACAAAUCAUUUUCACCACAUUUCAUACAUCACGAGUAUGGGCCCAUGAUUACAAGGUCACCAUAAAAUCAUCCUCAUGUGUAAUUUACUUGUUUAUAACCUUACCACAUCCCGGUCACUUAAUGUACACAUCAUUCACAUAACCAAGUUCCUGCACUUAUUCAUCACAAAACUCACAAAGCAAUACAUAGAGAGUCUCCCGCUGAACACUUCUGAUCAAUCCUCGAUACUUAGUGGUUUUAGAACAUAGCUCCACCCAUCAUAUAGUUCGGCUCUCUUGUACAUAUGGUAAACACUUAGUACCACCCAUGUGACCUAGCCAGUUUAUCUCGUAGCUCUCUUGUCUACAUGGUGUACACAUAGUAUCACCCAUGCGACCUAGCUACAUCAUAAUGUCUUGUAGCUCUCUUGUACACAUGAUGUGCACUCAGCACCAUACAUGUGACCUAGCUACAUACCAUCAGUAUCAUCCAAUCUUUUCGAAGGUUCAACCGGGAUUUCUCUCUCUUUUCCAACAAUUUCACCAAUCAAGUAAUUAUCAACAAACAUAUUUCCAACAUUAUUAUAAAAUAUCAUAAUACAAGUAAAAUUGAUGUAUUACUUACAUAUAAACUUACAUCUCAUUUAAUAUCAAGGUAAUAACAUUAAAUUACACAUUGCCUUAUUAAAAAUCAUAUGAACUUACAAUUUCUCAUAAUAUCCAUAAUCAUAGAAAUCACAUUUAUGUAUGAUAAUUCAAUGCACUUCAUGAACCAUAGACAUAUUUUUAAAUCAAUUCAUAAACUGGACACCAUAACAUUUAAUUUAACAUAAUUCAAUUAAUUCACUAAAUUUAACUUUCAAAUAUAAAUUACAGCAUUAUUGCUGUAUUAUUAUCACACCAACUUACAUACUUUAACACCUCGGAAAUCAUAGGAAAUAUAUCAAUUUUACAUUGAAACAUGCAUAAAUUAAUGCUUAUUAUACAUAUGAACUUACCUCGAUACUAAAACGGCCAUUUUACCAACUUUCUCAAUUUUCAAUUUUUCUCUCAUUCUAGGUUCAAAUCUCAGUUUUCCGAGAUCUAAAACAUCAUAUUUUACUUAUUUAAUUAAUGUACUAUUCAAAACAGUCCUUAACUCAAACUUUGGAAAAAUUACAAUUUUGCCCCUAAACUUUUGCAUAUUUACACUUUUUCCCCUAGGCUCGGGAAUUAAACUUCAUCCCUUAUUCUUAUGUUUUAUGACAUGCUGAUCACUUUUCCCUCCUAUGGCAACAUCAAAUUCUCACUCUAACAUAUACUUAUGACUAUUAGGUAUUUUUACGGAUUAAGCCCUUUUACUCGUUUUCACUCAAAACCGAGUAGCACAAGUUGUCUAACAUAAUUUAAAACCUCAUGUUCUAUCAUAAAACAUCAAAAUAAACACAUUUCACCUAUGGGUAUUUUUCCAAAUAUGAACCCUAGCUUAAAUUAUUGCUAGAAUAAGCUUAAUCAAAUUACCGGGAUUCCAAAAACGUAAAGAACUUGAAAAACGAGGUUAGAACGGACUUACUAUUGACGUUGGAAAGCUUGAAAACCCUAGCCAUGGCUUCCCCCAUGCUAAUUUCGGCCUCCAUGAAAAAGAUGAGUCAAUUUUGGCUUUAUUUUCCCUUUUUAUUUCUUUUAAUUACCAAAUGACCAAAAUGCCCUUCCUUACUAAACUUUCAAAAAUUCCAUCCACGUCCAAAUUUUUUCCAUAACUUAGAAAUUGGUCAAAUUUCUAUUUAAGACCUCCUAAUUAAUAUUUCAAAGCAAUUUCAUACUAGAAACUUCUAGAAUGCAAGUUUUGCAACUUAUUCAAUUUAGUCCCUAACUUCAAAUUGAGCACUUUAUGCAUAGAAUUUCUUCACGAAAUUUUCACAAAAUCAUGCAAUCAUAUCAUAAACCUCAAAAUAAUCAUAAAAUAAUUAUUUCUAUCUCAGAUUUUGUGGUCCCAAAACCUCUGUUCCAACUAGACCCAAUUUUGGGCUAUUACAUGGCUAAUCUUAUCUCCAUGUAUCGGCAAUGGGGCAGAUUUAAGCCACUAGCCUUAUCUCUCUGAGGCAGCAAGAGAGAAAGUUGAAAAUUGUAGUCUUAUCUUCCUGAGGUAGCAAGGAAGCAGACUGAAGAUUACAGAUCUUAUCUCCCUAAGCAGUUGCGGAGCAGAUUGAGGAUGGCGAAUCUUAUCUCCAUGUAUUGGCAAUGGGGCAGAUUUAAGUCACCAGUCCUAUUUCCCUAAGGUUACAGUCAAGAUUCAGCAAAACCGGGCAAAAUUGGCCCUAUUUAAAGUCUUUGCUCUAUUCUCGUUACACGUUAAUGAGCAAAGAGGGGCAGUUGUAAGACCCAAUUUGUGCCCGGGUUUACACAAACUAAAAAACAAAUCAAAAUAUAAAUAAUAAUAAUAAUAAAGUCCAAUGUCCAUUUCUUACAUAGCCCAACAACCAAAAAUAACGGGCUCAAAUUAAAAAACCUAAACCUAACAAAAUACAUAGCCCAAUGGCCCAAAUAAUCCAAGCUUCAGUUUUAGAAAAUGAAACCCUAAGUCAGUAGCCUCGUGUCGCAGCCUUCACGAGUGACCUCGCUACAUCACACGUGCACCUCCAUUCCACUAUGUCAACGAAACCUGGGAGAAGGAAAAUAAAUAGCAAAGGAAUGCACGAGAGAGAAGCUAACAGAAUUUACAGCGAUUGACAACAAGAAAAUGUAAUUUUAUUUUUUAUUUACUCUGUAAAUUCGGC